GACGUCACCUGUGCUCACCGCCGCUUCCGGUCCGCGUGAGGUGCAUUCUCGCGCCGGUGGCGAGGUUAGGGCCGGCGUUGAGACGUGGUGCAGCGCAUAUUUUCACAAGUGGGUCUCCCUUGUCCGGGACUAUGGCCACCGACUCGUGGGCCCUGGCGGUGGACGAGCAGGAAGCGGCUGUCAAGUCGAUGACCAAUUUGCAGAUCAAGGAAGAGAAAGUCAAAGCAGAUACCAAUGGUAUUAUCAAAACCAGUACCACUGCCGAGAAAACAGAUGAAGAGGAGAAAGAGGACAGAGCUGCCCAAUCCUUACUCAACAAGCUGAUCAGAAGCAACCUUGUUGAUAACACAAACCAAGUGGAAGUCCUGCAGCGGGAUCCAAACUCCCCUCUGUACUCAGUGAAGUCGUUUGAAGAGCUUCGGCUAACUUUCAAUAAAAUAUUGGCUGACAGGUGAUUUCUGGAUGUCAGGAACAUUUCUGAUUAGGAAACCACAGCUUCUCCAGGGAGUCUAUGCCAUGGGCUUCAAUCGACCCUCCAAGAUACAAGAGAACGCAUUACCCAUG
rnacentral:sRNA from 1 species